CCUCUAGAUGAUGAAGAGAUGGUCUCGUACAUCCUCACUAGACUCGACGUUGAUUUAAAUCCAGUCGUGUCCGCCAUCAUCGCAUGAGUGGAGCCAAUCUUAGUAAGUGAAUUGUAUGCUCAAUUGCUAAGUUUUGAAA